rnacentral:rRNA from 1 species
AUUGAACGCUGGCGGCGUGCUUAACACAUGCAAGUCGAGCGGUAACAGGCGUAGCAAUACGUGCUGACGAGCGGCGAACGGGUGCGUAAUACAUGGGAAUCUGCCUGGUAGUGGGGAAUAACCCGGCGAAAGCCGGGCUAAUGCCGCAUACGAUCCACGGAUGAAAGCGGGGGACCUUCGGGCCUCGCGCUAUUGGAUGAGCCCAUGUCGGAUUAGCUAGUUGGNGAGGUAACGGCUCACCAAGGCGACGAUCCGUAGCUGGUCUGAGAGGACGGCCAGCCACACUGGGACUGAGACACGGCCCAGACUCCUACGGGAGGCAGCAGUGGGGAAUAUUGGACAAUGGGCGCAAGCCUGAUCCAGCGAUGCCGCGUGUGUGAAGAAGGCCUGCGGGUUGUAAAGC